ensembl:lncRNA
UUUUUUUUUUUUUUGGUGUGGUGGGGAAUGGGUGGAGCUUGAGGAGGGCUGGAGCUGAGUAGGAUGCAAGAAACAUUUGUUCUGCUUGCUCCAGAAAGAAGUGAGUGUGUGUGAAUUUAAUUUUUUGGAUCACUGCCCAGAGUGGUCACACAUCACCACAGGUGAAGGAUCCCCUUGCCACCAGAAUUCUCUUUGCACUGAGCACCUCACCCCUACCCUCUGUCUGCAGCUGUUGAAACUUCUGGUCUUCCUGUUUGUGGCAAAUCUAUACGGGUCUGCAGCAACCUCAAUUCUUGACUCCUCAGAAGAAAGAAUUCAAUAGAGGGGCAUAAGGCAAAGGGAAAGACUGAGGAAAGUUUUAGAGCAGGAGUGAAAAUUUCUGAAGAAGUUUUAGUGCAGGAACAAAAGGAUGCAACGUAUACUUGUAAGAGGACCAAGCAGGCGAUGUGAGAGAUUCAAGUGCAUGGUUUGACCUUUGACUUGCGGUUUUAUAUGUUGGCAUGCUUCUGGGGGGUUGCAUCUCUUCUCUCUUGAUUCUUCCCUUAGGGUGGGCUGUCCACACGUGCUCUGGCCUGCCAGUACUUGGGAGGGGCCGCAUGCACAGUAUGUUUACUGAAGUUGUAAGCAUGCUCACAUGAGGCGUUCUUCCCUUACCAGUUGAGUGUUCCUAAAGGAAGGCCAUAUACCAGUUAAACUCUGCCAUUUUGCCUCUUAGUGCACAUGCUUGAACCCACUAGCCCAACUCCUGAGAUCUUAUCAGGAAGCUGCUGAUAACCAGUUUCAGGUUUUUCUAUCUAUUGGGAGACAUUCCCUGGUGCCGACUGCAACCAAUUAUUUUAGAGAGACAGUUUAACAAUCACCUGACCAUCACACUUAAUGGUCGCCUGACAUUCCUAGUUUUGGGGGAGCCCUCUCCUGCCCUGCUCAUGUCUGACUACCUACUAUAACAUUUCCAGGGCCUGGGCAUGCCUUUUUGCAGGAUUCAGUGGCACCAGGUUGGCUCACACUUGAAGAAUACACAUUUGGUCCCUGUGCAUUGAAGGUGGCAUUCAACUGGACACUGGCAGUGGAGGGAGGCAGCAUAUCCCUGGCCCAGCUCAGCCACAGGGGUCAGCUCAGAGGACUCUAGAGGAGGUUGGAGCUGAGGGCUCCAGUCUGGAAGAGGGACAUUACUCAUCCCACAAAGGCUUCUAAAGAGGUCCUCAGUAGAGAGGACCUCUUUGAAACUGCCUUUGCAAAAACUUUAACAGUGAUAAAAUUAUGAGAGUGAAAGAGAUCUUACCUAACCAACUCCAUCUUGCCUUUAAUCUCCAAACUGCCCUUGGUCAUUCCUGGGUGUGGGCCAAGGUAACUUUGGUAGAAAUUUAUAGAUCAAAUGGUAAUAGCUCUUCCCAAAACUAAACUGCCUUUAUAAAACUAACGCAAGGCCACAAGUUUAAGAUUAUGAAAGGGGCUUGAAUUUUGCUAAGAUAUAGGUGUAGUUAAAUGAUUAAUAGCCAUUGUUCUAGAGGUCACAAGAUUUGCAACAUUACCAAUUACUCCUGUAAAUAACAUCACUAUUGUGGAACCUAAGAUUGGCUUUUUAAGAUGUCUUUUCAGACUUUUACAUUUCUGACAACUGACUGGAUGACUCCAUCUGGACCAGUGACUCCUCU